GGCGGACGGGUGAGUAUCGCGUGGGAACGUGCCUUCUGGUCUGGAAUAACCCUGGGAAACUAGGGCUAAUACCGGAUACGCCCUUAUGGGGAAAGGUUUACUGCCGGAAGAUCGGCCCGCGUCUGAUUAGCUCGUUGGUGGGGUAACGGCCUACCAAGGCGACGAUCAGUAGCUGGUCUGAGAGGAUGAUCAGCCACACUGGGACUGAUACACGGCCCAGACUCCUACGGGAGGCAGCAGUGGGGAAUAUUGGACAAUGGGCGCAAGCCUGAUCCAGCCAUGCCGCGCUGAGUGAUGAAGGCCUUAGGGUUGUAAAGCUCUUUUAUCCGGGACGAUAAUGACGGUACCGGAGGAAUAAGCCCCGGCUAACUUCGUGCCAGCAGCCGCGGUAAU
rnacentral:rRNA from 1 species